UACGUAGGGUGCGAGCGUUAAUCGGAAUUACUGGGCGUAAAGCGUGCGCAGGCGGUUUUGUAAGCCAGAUGUGAAAGCCCCGGGCUUAACCUGGGAAUGGCAUUUGGGACUGCAAGGCUUGAGUGCGGCAGAGGAGACUGGAGUUCCUGGUGUAGCAGUGAAAUGCGUAGAUAUCAGGAGGAAUACCGAUGGCGAAGGCAGGUCUCUGGGCUGACACUGACGCUCAUGCACGAAAGCGUGGGGAGCAAACAGG
rnacentral:rRNA from 1 species